AAGUCGUAACAAGGUUUCCGUAGGUGAACCUGCGGAAGGAUCAUUAACACGUAUCCAAACGUUAAACCCCCUGUGAACGAACGUGCUCUUGCUCAACAUAGAUGGAACAGCAAUCCUGGUAAAUCAGUGGGAGGAAUGUUGAUUGAUUUCAGGACCUCUGUUCUACUGUUGUUCAAUCGAGCGCUGGACGCAAACGCUUUCCUGCAGGGGAUUGGGACCCCCAAGCGAUUCACGUGUUGCAAGCAGACACCUGCAUGUGACCAGGAGAGAGACACCCAUCUGCGAGUGUCCAGAAAACCCUCAUUCAGUUCCCUUCCACCGCAAGUGCACCGGUCGUGGAGCGCGUAUCUAAAAACCGAACAACUGUUAACAAUGGAUAUCUCGGUUCUC
rnacentral:misc_RNA from 1 species